rnacentral:rRNA from 1 species
UUGUCUUCAAAGAUUAAGCCAUGCAUGUUCUCAGUACAAGCCGAAUUAANGGUGAAACCGCGAAAGGCUCAUUAAAUCAGUUAUGGUUCCUUAGAUCGUACCCACAUUUACUUGGAUAACUGUGGUAAUUCUAGAGCUAAUACAUGCAAACAGAGCUCCAACCGGAAACGGAAGGAGCGCUUUUAUUAGAUCAAAACCAAUCGGUGGCGGUUUCUCCGUCAUCGUACAACUUGGUGACUCUGAAUAACUUUAAGCUGAUCGCACGGUCUCGCACCGGCGACGCAUCUUUCAAAUGUCUGCCUUAUCAACUGUCGAUGGUAGGUUCUGCGCCUACCAUGGUUGUAACGGGUAACGGGGAAUCAGGGUUCGAUUCCGGAGAGGGAGCCUGAGAAACGGCUACCACAUCCAAGGAAGGCAGCAGGCGCGCAAAUUACCCACUCCCGGCACGGGGAGGUAGUGACGAAAAAUAACGAUACGGGACUCAUCCGAGGCCCCGUAAUCGGAAUGAGUACACUCUAAACCCUUUAACGAGGAUCAAUUGGAGGGCAAGUCUGGUGCCAGCAGCCGCGGUAAUUCCAGCUCCAAUAGCGUAUAUUAAAGUUGUUGCGGUUAAAAAGCUCGUAGUCGAAUCUGUGUCCCGCGCCGCCGGUUCAUCGUUCGCGGUGUUAACUGGCGUGCCGCGGGACGUCCUGCCGGUGGGCUUAGCUCGAAAGGGCGGCCCAACUCAAUCCCGCCGCGGUGCUCUUCAUUGAGUGUCGAGGUGGGCCGGCACGUUUACUUUGAACAAAUUAGAGUGCUUAAAGCAGGCUAAAACUUCGCCUGAAUACUGUGUGCAUGGAAUAAUGGAAUAGGACCUCGGUUCUAUUUUGNUUGGUUUUCGGAACCCCGAGGUAAUGAUUAAUAGGAACGGAUGGGGCAUUCGUAUUGCGACGUUAGAGGUGAAAUUCUUGGAUC